UGCGGCUGGAUCCCCUCCUUUCUAAGGAAUAUCCUGUCCUGACGGACAGAUAAAAAGUUGACUGUUUCUUGUUUGUUUAGUUUUGAGGGAGCAAUUCUCUCAAAACUUUUUUAAUCUCGUCCUUUGAAAACUAGAUAAUCAUAUAGAAGAAACCAAGUAAGAACCGAGUAAAUCGCCAUUUUAGGUUUUCAACCUUUUAGGUUAAGUUAGAAAGGGCGCACGGUGAAUGCCUUGGCACUAGGAGCCGAUGAAGGACGGUACUAACACCGAUAUGCUUCGGGGAGCUGUAAGUAAGCUUUGAUCCGGAGAUUUCCGUAAUGGGGAAACCCGGA
rnacentral:misc_RNA from 1 species